UAAGCAAUAAACAUUGAGCUGCAAAGAAGACUCUGAGACCAGACCAGCUGCCGGAAGAAGCAGAAACCAGCAGAACUGCCUGGAAGAGGUUUAGACCAACUGAGACACCUGGGAAGGACACUCUGCACCAGGUUGAGCUGCCUGCAAGAUUUGUAGUGUGCUCCAGGUUCCAGCUUUGUGGGCUAUCAAAGCUGGUCUCACUCGGUGGUCCAUGCAGUGCAUUUGCCUCAACCCCCAGAGUGCUGGUAUAGCAGGACAUCUGGGUCUCUGCUUGUCACUCUGCAGACAGCAUUGAGUGUGAUAGUCACGCAUGGAGUUCCAAUCAAGCCUGAGUCACCAGGGACCAGAAAUUCUUCAAGUAUUCCUGGAACGAAGUCCUCCACCAGGCAGCAAGGUCCCUCUUGUGUUGGUUAUGAAGAUUGUCUUGUAUCUGCUUCUCAGAGCAUGGGAACCAAUUCUGUGAGUCCAUUGGCAUUGCAGCCAGAGUUCUGCUCUUCAUUUAUACCAUCAUCACCAUCUCCACCACUACCACCAUCACCUUCUACCAUCAUCAUCACCAUCUCCACCACUACCACCACCAUCACCACUAACACUAUAAUCUUACCAUCUUGACUGUUAGCAUCUAAUGUGAGUGUGGAGAGUCAUAAUGGAAAGACUAUUUAAAAUUAGCCCAUGUGCUGGGCUAAUUCAGUUGAUUGACUGCAUGUCUAGCAUGGCCAAAACCCUGGGCUCAGUGUCCAAAAGCGUGAACACUGGUGUGGAGGCAUACCCCUAGGGAGGCGGAGGCAGGCAGGUGAGAAGUUCGUGUCAGCGUUGGCUGCCUACUUAGUUGAAGACCCUGUUUUCAAAAAACAAACCAUUUGUCCAGAUAGAGGUGACUUGCUUGGAAUUCACCCCAAUGACCUUGACAUUUCUGUGGUCAUCCUGUCUCUUGACUGCCAAAGUCACAGGUGUGCACCAGUACACCCAACUCAAAAUCCAUUCUUCACACGUUGCUUCUUCAGAAAUUCUUACAGAGAACGAAGAAGAUGUAAUUGAGGCAAAGUGGGUGUGCUGUGAAUGGAUGUAAGGGUUGAGUUGUUGGCCGGCUGUGUAUGUCAUCAAGCAACCAACUACAAAAUGAAAAACAUGUCAGUAAUAUUUUUUAGCUUGGAAUUACGUGCCAAGUGAAAUUGUUUACUUCUGUCUUUGAUGUUGUCCCCUCAUUUUGUGGCAGCAUCUUGAGUGAGUCAAUUGAUCAGAACUUCGGAUUCUCCUGCCCCACCUUCCCAAGUGCAACACUUCACUCGGCUGCCUGUCCAUUUCCCCAUCUUCUGAAGCUGAGGCCCCUAGACCUUCCUCUGCAUGCUGAAACCUGGUAGGUACUGGCUUCUUCAGUUUCUGAAGUCUGACUGCAACAAAUUCUCAAGUUGAAAGGCAAGCGUGUGACUGAUGCUCUUCAGAAGAGGUGUGUGUCCAAAGCCUUAUGAAUGAUACAUGAUUAUGGGCCUGACCAAAAGAAAGGACCUCUUUCUCCAAACUCACAGAAAAUGGUGUGCAUUCUGUGUUCUGUGUGCCGGACAUUUCUUUUGGCAUUGGCCUGGACCACUUUAUGAUUCAUCUUCCUGUUGUAAUAUAUGCAUCACAGGGUUUGUGGGUUGGCUGGAUUUGCCUCUGAAUUCCUACAGACAUGCACAGAAUUUACCACAAAGUGAGCUCCAAUCAAUAGCUGCAGAAUCUCAUGAGGCAAGUGUCAUUACCACAGGCCAGCCAAGCAAGGAUAACUAAUUAACCUCAUCAGUAAACUACAGUACUGGGACUGGAAUCCAGGACUGUCCAGUGUCCAGGGCCAUGUUUACAUCCUCUGUGGCAUGCUGCCUCCCUGAGCUACACCGGAGGUCCGUUCCCGAGUGUGUUUACUGUCUGGUCUGGACUCUUGCCCAUCUUCCUCAAAUUCCAUUUCCUAUCUCACACUGAUUAAUUUUGUAGAAAUUCUUCAUUCUUCUUGUGUAAGAACAUUCCCCCCUUAUUUUGGAGAUAGUGGUCUCAUUAUGUGGCCUUGGCUGGCUCCAAACUCUGUGUACACCAGGCUGGUCUUGACUUGAGGGCCUCCUGCCUCUACCUCCCAAAUUGCUGAGAUUACAGGCUGUGUCAUCAUAUCUGGUUUCUGACUCCUCUGUAUUUUUUUUUUCUAUGUCAGGAUUUUAUGUAGCCAAGGCUGGCCUCUGACUUGCUAUGUUCCAAGGAUAACCUUGAGUUCCUGAUCUUCCUUCCUGUCAAUUGCUGUGAUUACAUGUGUUUACCUGGGAUUACAUGUGUUCAUCUGGGAUUACAUAUGUGCAUCUGGGACCACAUGUGUGCACCUGGAAUUGCAUGUGUUCUUCUGGGAUUACAUGUGUUCAUCUGGGAUUACACGUGUGUCUCUGGGAUCACAGGUGUGCAGCACUACUUUUUUUUUUGCAGUUUGGGUGAUGGAAUCCAGAGCCUUGUGAAUGCUAGGCAAAUGAUCUACAACUUGAGGUCCACCUCUAGCCUCACUGUGUUCUUUUGCUUUAAAAAAUAUUCUGUUUUCGGGAUGGCAUAGUGACAUGUCUCAAUUGUCAGUCGUCUCUAGACACAUUUCGGGCUACUGUCCUUGAUACAUGAUCUACCAGGUAGAAACAAGGCUUUAUACAAACAAUAAUAAAUUCACAUCCAUGUUGUGUGAACCUAUA